CACAUCAUGAAAGCCGCUUGUACCCGAAGUCGCUGUGCCAACUUGCAAGAGAGGCAGGUGCCGAAGGUAUGGGUGGUGAUUGGGAUG
rnacentral:rRNA from 1 species